rnacentral:rRNA from 1 species
AGCUCCGCUAGCGUAUACUAAUGUUGUUGCAGUUAAAAAGCUCGUAGUUGGAUUUCUGUGAUGGGCAGCCGGCCGGCUCUUCGGAGUUGUAGCUAGGUUUGUUUGUCGCAUCUUGCAGUAAUUGUCUCUGGCAUUAAUUUGUUGGAGUACAGGACCUGCUCGUUUACUUUGAGAAAAUUAGAGUGUUCAAAGCGGGCUAUCGCCUUGAAUAUAUUAGCAUGGAAUAAUGAUAUAGGACUUUGGUCUUAUUUUGUUGGUUGUUCGAGGACCGAAGUAAUGAUUGAUAGGGACGGUUGGGGGCAUCAGUAUUCUGAAGCGAGAGGUGAAAUUCUUGGACCUUCGGAAGACUAACAACUGCGAAAGCAUUUGCCUAGGACGUUCUCU